rnacentral:rRNA from 1 species
AUUGAACGCUGGCGGCAGGCCUAACACAUGCAAGUCGAGCGGAGCGGCGGACGGGUGCGUAAUACCUAGGAAUCUGCCUGAUAGUGGGGGAUAACGUUCGGAAACGGACGCUAAUACCGCAUACUAUCAGAUGAGCCUAGGUCGGAUUAGCUAGGUGGUGAGGUAAUGGCUCACCAAGGCUACGAGCCGUAACUGGUCUGAGAGGAUGAUCAGUCACACUGGACGUAAGACACGGUCCAGCCUCCUACGGGAUGCAGCAGUGGGGAAUAUUGGACAAUGGGCGAAAGCCUGAUCCAGCCAUGCCGCUUGUGUGAAGAAGGUCUUCGGAUUGUAAAGCACUUUAAGUUAGGAGGCGUUACCUACAGAAUAAGCGCCGGCUAACUACGUGCCAGCAGCCGCGGUAAUUC